GAUGAAGAACGUAGCGAAAUGCGAUAAGUAAUGUGAAUUGCAGAAUUCAGUGAAUCAUCGAGUCUUUGAACGCACAUUGCGCCCCCUGGUAUUCCGGGGGGCAUGCCUGUCCGAGCGUCAUUGCUGCCCUCAAGCUCGGCUUGUGUGUUGGGCCUCCGUCCUCCUCCCGGGGGACGGGCCCGAAAGGCAGCGGCGGCACCGCGUCCGGUCCUCGAGCGUAUGGGGCUUCGUCACCCGCUCUUGUAGGCCCGGCCGGCGCUUGCCGACACAUCAAUCUUUUUUCCAGGUUGACCUCGGAUCAGGUAGGGAUACCCGCUGAACUUAAGCAUAUCAAUAAGCGGAGGA
rnacentral:misc_RNA from 1 species